AUUAGAGUCAGUGAUGUCAUAUAUCCUGACUAGGACACUAUUCAUCAGGACAGUGAGGACAGCUAGGUGGGACAUCUCUGGGUAUAAGUUGUCUGACCCGUGUAAUUAUGGGAUGGAGCUUAGAGGCCUCAGAAGGACAAGUAGAAAACCUGAGAGUCGCCUAGCUGGCUUCGCCCAUGUUCAGAGAUCCCAUGCUUGCUUCCUUUUUUGCCAGGCAGCCUCCAGGAGUGACCACAAGAUUCUCAUAUGUUGUCAUUAACUGUGAUAUGUCAACUUGAGUAAGAACUGCGUAGCAGAUUUGUAAAGGUUUGUGUGUGUUUGUGGAUGACUGACAUGUAGACCAUCAAACUAAGGCGGAGAGACUCAUCCUGGAAAGAAGAGAAAGUCUGCCCUUUUUUCUUCAGAGGAGUUCCGGUCACCAUUGCCUUUGAACGUUGAUCUCUAGUUCCCUCAGGCUUCCAGAGCAGACUCUCCAGCCUUCCUACACAGACCCUCAGAUUUCUGACUUAGAAUCUUCCUGGACUCAGUAAUGACCUUCAGGCCUUUGACCUUCAACUGAGUCCCUGGCCUUUCAGCAGGCACAUGGCCAUUUUGUCAUUCUUACACUUCUGAUUUGCCAGAUGGCCACUGGGAAUCUUUGACUUCUUUUUUUCUUUUUGAGUGUUAAUUAACUUUAUUCACUUUUUUCCAAACAUAUACAAUAUUAAAUAUAAGCUAAAAACAAUACAUAGUUCUUAGAAAAUACUACCCAAUGCCCCCAUUGUCUGAGGUUUGUGAUUAUAAUGUGCUCAGCCUUUGUUCUUCCAGAAUGUUAGUGAAUGUGUUGCUCAAAACAAGCACAGAGUAAGAGGAAACCUCCCCUAAAUAAAUUUUGUUAUUAUAAAACAAAUCCAAAGAGAGGCCUCUAAUGUCUUCAUUCGGGUAUCUGGAAUUUCAAAAUGGAAAUAAUUACUGAAGGAGCAAGCAG
rnacentral:lncRNA from 1 species